UACGGAGGGUGCAAGCGUUAUCCGGAUUCACUGGGUUUAAAGGGUGCGUAGGUGGGCAAGUAAGUCAGUGGUGAAAUCUCCGGGCUUAACCCGGAAACUGCCAUUGAUACUAUUUGUCUUGAAUACUGUGGAGGUCAGCGGAAUAUGUCAUGUAGCGGUGAAAUGCUUAGAUAUGACAUAGAACACCAAUUGCGAAGGCAGCUUACUACCCGAAUAUUGACACUGAGGCACGAAAGCGUGGGGAUCAAACAGG
rnacentral:rRNA from 1 species